UACGGAGGGUGCAAGCGUUGCUCGGAAUUAUUGGGCGUAAAGGGUAGGUAGGUGGUCUUAUUUGUCUGGGGUGAAAGCCUUGAGCUUAACUCAAGAAGUGCCCCAGAAACGGUAAGACUAGAGUCCUGGAGAGGGUCGUGGAAUUCCCGGUGUAGCGGUGAAAUGCGUAGAUAUCUGGAGGAACACCGGUGGCGAAGGCGGCAUCCUGGACCGACACUGACGCUGAGGAGCGAAAGCCAGGGGAGCAAACGGG
rnacentral:rRNA from 1 species